AGAGGAUGUCCAGGAAAAUGUAUGUAUCAUUGUGGAUGUGGCAGAGCGGUUCCUGGCACUGAAUGAUUUCUCGGUGGAGGAGUUGUAUGGAGUAUUGUCCCAAGCAGUACCACCCUCUGAGGCCCUAGAGCCUGAGAAGGGAGAUAUGGAGAUUUGGUUUGGAUUUGUCAGUGUACUAUUUUUAUUUGGGUGGAUUACGUUAGUUUUCCGUAUCACGUAUGGGUUUUCAGUUUACCUUGUUUUUCAACCCAUCCAGUUGGUGGCGGAAAAAAAUAGACCUUUUUCGGUUGUAGUUCGCCAUAAAACCAACAGAAGAAGAAGAGGAGUCACAGAAACGAUCGCGAACAAAACCUGUCCUGUGGCUCCCUCUCCUGGAUCAAGAGAGAACGACUCAAUCUUCAUGCCGGCCACAACACGGCUCAUAUCAAGGUUGACAGAUAUCACGGGUGUCACUCAGGAUGAUUUCUCCCUGAAAAUGGAGGACGAGGACUUUGACAAGGUUACUCAAGUCAUCUAAAGGCUACAUUUCUCCUGACUAAGGCUGUUGGAAAGGCUCUGGUUGCCAGUGGAGCUCCUAAACGCUCCAUCAUUGCUGUGGGCAGCAUUGUGGGUGGGCAAUAUUGAACAGGCGAACUACUCGCCUGUUCUAUACAGGCUACCAAAGCAGUUGUGGAGGGCCUGACCAGAACUGCAGCCAACUAGCUGAGCAGCUUAUGUCCAUGGUGCCCCUGGGGAGGAUGGGAGAGCCUGCAGAGAGGAAGCUGAUGGAUCCUAACACACAUUCCCAGUAGAGGACUCUGGCUACAUCACUGGAACCAGUGUUGAAGUAGCAGAGGCCUUUUCAUUGGCUGAGACAACUUUCCAUCAUCCUCAUGAAGAUCCCAUCUAGGUCCAGUAAUUGUAUAUGUAUUCAACGUUCACACUGUGCCUUCGCGUGUGAUAAUACAACCGAUUGGGGAUCAAUCUUGUUUUGUACAUCUAGUCAAUAUCUUAGUGUAAAUGUGAUUGUGCAAUAAAUUGAAACCUGUGUAACUUUUGUUGUGGCGAGAGUUCACGAGACAGAGUUGAGUGCUCUCCCAAUUUAACCGAGUUACGUCUCUUAAACCUCUACAUUUAUGUGCGGUUACUAUAAUUUUGCGAGUGAAACUUAUACCAGUCAUUACUAACACGGUUGGAUUUAGAUGUUUGAAAACAGGAAAGACCGACGCCACACAUACAAAGACACACGAAUACAGCGUGAACACAGAGAAAAUGCGUUGGCAUGUGGUUUAAUUGGAGACGUUGAACAGAAAACAACAAGCCAAGAACAAUGAAACAGUGAAACUAAAGCAAAACAAAAACUAACAGUAAACAGAGAAGGAAAACAACACUGAGCACUGGACAGUAGAGGGGAAAAGAGAGGGUGCCAGCCAUAGAUCAGAACCAAACAGGUGUAAACACUAGAAGUUCUUUUUUGGGGGGGGCUGGUGAGGUGAUAUAGUGGAAAUACGGUUGGGAUCUGACUGAUUCUGGUGGUCAGUUCACUGGAGAUUGUGAGUGAUGUGGUUAUAUUCAGCUGUCUGAGCUGCUGUAUGCAGAAUGAAGAGAGAAAUAAAAUAAUGACUAGUUAUUGUGUAGCUCUGGGUAACAUGCAACACCAGCCAGUUGAGAGAGGAUGAAACGGAGGGACGAGGAAAAAAACACAAGGGAGUCAAGAAGCUAUUUUUAAAAAGAUGAUAUAUUACAGAAACAAAACAUUUAAAAUUACUUACAUUAUAAAAUAAUACUUUUUGUCUUUUCAGCACCAUAUUUUGUUGAAAUAUUUGUUUGUCUUUAACAACAACAAAAAACAAUCAAUGUAAUUUUCUCUCGCGAAUCCCCCCCUUCUCUGCAAUGUCAAAAGAAAAACGAACCAAAACACACAAACCAAAAUACCCAUAAUGAUAUACAACCCCAUAGCCACAGUACAUCACUUCGAAACAAAAUCUUUGUAAUAUUUGCCCACGUGGUUGCUAGAAUCUUCCAUCCCUCCCGCUAGCUGUCCCCUGCCCGCUGUAUUCUCACAACCGUAGAAUCCUGGUGUCUGUCGCCCUCGCCAUACUCCUGCAGCACAGCUCAGCCAAGCAGUAGCAACCCGCAAUGGAGAGUCACCAUUUAAUCAUUACAGUAGAAGCAAUCAUAACAGCACAGUACAGUCGAUGAAUGCUAAACGGUUACAAUGAGAUAUGGCCACGUGCCCCCCCCACCACCACCAGAACAGUUGACAUUCAUAGACCAAAGGGGGGUGUGUACAGAUAACUCGGUUUAGUGUUAGUUUAAUAUGUAUUUAAUUGUUUUAAGACCGCCAAGUGAGAACUACAGGAAAUAAAUACAAAAUGAAAUACCACAUUCGACUCUCAUAUUUGGUUUGUCGUUGUUUGAAGCACCCUGUUUUGUUUUCAAUAAAUACAAUAGAAUAUCACUAUGUCUGUACAAAUGGAUUCGAUUGCACAUUUCCAGUAGGAGAACUGGUGACGACAUCGUGCGGCUGUGAUGGAGACAAACUUGAAUUAUUCACGCUGAAUAUAUUAACGCUUUGGUAUAAUUAGCACCGUGCCACAGUUUUUUGAAAGCAAGCAUUUAUUCACCGCUGUAAGAGAGAACGUUUGGUCGUCAUCUAUUCAGCUCAUAUACAUAUUUAACCCUGAUACCUUCCCUGCUUGAAAAGAGACGGAAUGUCACACAUCCUGUAAUGUAACCCUGUGUUCUACAUGAAACAGCAAUGAAAUUCCAGACCUGUAAGUACUAGACUGGUUUGAUGACAUUCUGGCCCAUUCGCUUGUCUAGGAACUACAGUUCUGGACUGUCUGUGACAGUUGUAACAUUGAUUACAAAUAAAUGUUCCACACAUCACGUUCAGUACAAUUUACAAGGUUCAUGGCUUUUGAUUCAUUGGGCCUUGGAGAAGGCAUAGACACCCUUCCGUCCCAUUGCAUGCAACAUUA